rnacentral:rRNA from 1 species
AGAGUUUGAUCCUGGCUCAGGUUGAACGCUGGCGGAAUGCUUUACACAUGCAAGUCGAACGGCAGCACGGGGGCAACCCUGGUGGCGAGUGGCGAACGGGUGAGUAAUACAUCGGAACGUGCCCAAUCGUGGGGGAUAACGUAGCGAAAGCUACGCUAAUACCGCAUACGAUCUACGGAUGAAAGCGGGGGAUCGCAAGACCUCGCGCGAAUGGAGCGGCCGAUGGCAGAUUAGGUAGUUGGUGGGGUAAAGGCUCACCAAGCCAACGAUCUGUAGCUGGUCUGAGAGGACGACCAGCCACACUGGGACUGAGACACGGCCCAGACUCCUACGGGAGGCAGCAGUGGGGAAUUUUGGACAAUGGGCGAAAGCCCGAUCCAGCCAUUCCGCGUGCAGGAUGAAGGCCUUCGGGUUGUAAACUGCUUUUGGACGGAACGAAAAGCCACUUUCUAAUACAAGGUGGUCAUGACGGUACCGUCAGAAUAAGCACCGGCUAACUACGUGCCAGCAGCCGCGGUAAUACGUAGGGUGCAAGCGUUAAUCGGUAUUACUGGGCGUAAAGCGUGCGCAGGCGGUUAUGUAAGACAGUUGUGAAAUCCCCGGGC